ensembl:lncRNA
AUUUGCUUGCAGGGUGAAAUACUGUGCUGAAGUCAGUGUACAAACUUUCCCAAAAGUUGUGAAUAUGUGAAAUUUAUGGAAAAUGAGCUCAAUGGGAAGGAGAAGCUGAGGGAACAGGAGUGACUGUAAUCACCUGGGAAAAGCUGAAAAUGAAAAGUCACUGCAAAGAUGGCAGCUGCUGUGAGACAGAGCUGAGCUGGAGAGACCUUUAAUCCCACCUUGCUGUUGUUGCAGCAGAGUUUCUCCAGCCUGUGGCAUCUUCAUCUGAAUUAAGUAUUAAACCCCCAGGCUUUUUUGGUUCCUUGAAUUGGCAACCUGGCAGGUAGAGGGCCUUCGAAGAGAUGGAAAUGGAGGGUUUGGGGCUGACACAACUUGAGUGGUGGUGGUAGUUCAUGCUGUUCCCAAAAUGUGUCUUGAACCUUUACGUACAGGAAACAUAACUUCACCCCUGACAGUAGCAUGUGGGAAAAUGUAGACUUACACAGUUAGUCUUUGGUUCUUCAGCCUUUGUAGUUAUGAACACUAUAAAAAGUAGAGUGUGAGAUUUGGAAAAGGGUUUUAUGUCAACAAGACCUAGGGGCCCAUAGGUGAUUAUUUGUGGUGGGUAAGCAAAAUAGUUAACUGAAUGUGUCUCUAGAUUUCCUACCCUCAAAGUGUGCAGGAAAGCUCUGCAUGUCUUUUCAAGCUGUGUUUUUUUUUUUUCCAGUUGCAGACUGGGAGACAACAGUGCAUUGUUUAACCUCAUACCUAUUUCUGGGAAGUUACAACAAAAUAGGAGCUGGGAGUAAAAGCUCUUUGAGAAGUGCAUAUUUGAUUCUGGGACAGAAAUCUGCAGUUGGGUUUGAAUUCCACAGGAGAGGCUGCUGCCACCGAUACCGCAAAAUGAGGAUCUGGAGCGUACAGAGGAGAGAGGGUGGCUGCUUCCCAGGAUUUCCUGUAUUUCAUUCCUUGCCUGUAAUUAAUUAUAGUAACAUUAUGAAAUUCUAGUCUUUGUAGUGGCUUUAUCAAAACUCCUACCAAUUCCCAGCACAGUGAAACUUUUCUUACGAAUUUAACCUCUGUAUUUGCUGUGUGAGUGGGAACCUCUGAUGCUUGCCAGUUUCUGUCCCUCUGGUGAUUUUGCAAAGUGUAAUCAUUGUAAAAUGCAAUUGCUUAAUAUGUAGCUCAUUCACUAAAACCCCAAGGAUAAGAGGCAGUGAGUAAUGCGAGUCAUUACCGGAGCAAUAGUUUCUAAAGAGAUGAAGAGUCAUGCAUCACAUAUCAAUCAAUUUAGACUUAAAUGAAGAAUUUAUAAAAAUCACUGGUCAGAUGUGAUCGAUAUCAUUCCCAGGCAAAUUAAAGUAGCUUCCCUGGAGUCAUGCACUGCUUCUGAUGUUUCU